GUUUGAUUAGCUCAGGGGUAGAGCACUACGUUGACAUCGUAGGGGUCACUGGUUCAAAUCCAGUAUCGAACACCA
rnacentral:tRNA from 1 species